UUUGACGUCUGUGGGUUCCAGAUCCGAUUUGUGCAAAUCUGGCCUGCUUUGACAUGUGAGAAGGUUGAUACCGUCGAGAAAGUCCCACCAGGGGCGUGCAACAGAAUCCAAUCCAAUAGCGUAAAUCCUGACGAUUCGGAUGAAUAUUAACCGCAUCAACUUCAAGUGCACGUCUCAACUCAUUUCUGAAAGUUAUCUUUUGCGCCGCAAGACAAGAUGUCAACUAGGCAGCUGUACAAAUCUUGUCCAAUCUUAGCCUGGUAGAGAGCGGCUCAUCAUACUACUGAACUUGCUUCUCACGAACAUCAACAGCGUCCCACAGCGACUCCAUGUACUUGGCAUGAUCGUCUUGCUUUGAAGCGUAAACCGGCAUGCCUCUUGCUUCAACUGCAUGUUUCUCUGAUGAUUCUGACGCAUUUAAAGGCUCUUCGAUUCGAUCCUGAUCUAGAGCUACGAGGGCGACGACACAAUCACACAUCAUUGAUUUCAACUCGCUCCCAUUUCUCAGAGGCGAAUGUGGUCCUGUCUGAACACCGUUGACAUGCCUCCGAAAACUUUAUUCUUACUAUCCCAGCAUCAUACUCGUCAAUCCUCACUCCUAGACUGGCAUCUGCAUCAACAUUUAGAUCAGCAUAACAUUUCAGUUUGUGAUCAAACUGCGAUCAGCUUUCAUGAUGAACGGCAGCACAUAUUUGCUGCUGUGGAUGCUGUGAAUCUAAAUCAUCGAGUAACUUGUGACGUAAUUGGUCUGAUCAUUCUUUCCAUACACAAAUAUAGGCAGCUUCGACUCGAAAUAUGUAUACAUUCCUACUGUUCUUGCAUAGAUGCAAUCGAAACUGCAGGCAGAGGUUUCCUGUGCUAUUCAUAAUAAUGGAUAAAAUUAGCAAGUGGUCAAAGAUGGUCAAUACCAACUUGUGUGGUUCUAUGUUCCAACUCCAGAACGUGGAGGGCAAGUGAGAAAGUUUGAAUUUGAAUAGGUACCCAGCAAAUACUUGGUAC
rnacentral:lncRNA from 1 species